GAACCUCUGAAAGAUAAACCACUGAAGGGUACCGAUGAUCCUGACCGACCGCAGCGACCUGCGCCGCGCGCACCGCCCCACAACGUGCGGCCGUACACCGCUAAACUGCGAAAACUUAUGUCAGCUUCACUUGAGAACAUCUUCUGGGCCAAAAGUGAGUCAUGAUUUGGGGCAACAGUACUUUACAGUAUGGGCAUUAAUUUUUGACUGCGAUAAGACCUGCUGAAUUCCAGAGAAUGACCUUUGCACUGAAGACUCUUCACUUUAACUUGAAGUAAAACUUUGUUAAUGACAAUACCCUGACAACAUAUCCAUGUAGAGGAUGUCUGUCCGUGAAAGGUCAAUUAACAUUCGGAUAGCCAUGGGGAGGACAUGCAAGGACCGUCCAGCCAAGAUUCACACUGGAGCGCAAGCUUCACUUCCAUAUAUCAAUUAUUUUUAUUGAACUCUUUUUAGGAGCAAACAUUUUAUUUUGACAGCAUAAUUUUGUAUUAUUAAUUUCAUUGAAAAUUUUAAUUAAAAAAAAAUCUAGAUGAGGUUAUGAAAGAAUGUCUCUGCCAUGGACUUGUGGCAUUCCCAUGGUUGUUUCCUGCCUUGGGCUCAAUUUUGCCUGGAUAGGCUCUGGUCAAUCUUGACCCAGAACUGGAUUAAACAGAUUGAUCAUGUUACUGUAUGUUAGCCUAUUAAUUUAACAAUUACAAAUCUAGUAUGUUACACUUUAAUUGUCAAACCUACAGUAUUAGUAUUAGAAAUAUAAGUGCAGUCAGAAUGCACUUAACUCCACCUCAGUUAACAUUCUUAACAUUUAAAGCUCUUUGGUUUUUGAGGUAUUGUUCUUUAAUUAAACUCUCUCUACUUCAGAUUUAUGUUAAUAAGAGCAGAUUGAUAAAUACAAGCCUGAUUAUUUAUGUAGAAAUUAUAUUAAUAUCUUUAUAGUAUAUUCAUUUUUCACAUGAUAAACAUUAUUGAUUUUUUAUAAGAAAUAAUUCAGACCAAUGCUACUUCACUGACAAGUUGUCCUCUUUGAGUUCAUUUAUUAAUGCAGUAUGGUAAGUCUAUUCCUAAUAUAAAACUUACUGUUGUUGAUGUUUUCUUUGCAUACUGAAAAUAUAUUGCUGUGGAUUUCUUUUUGAAAUACUUUUAGUGCAUUAUUUAUAAAAUUGUAUAUGCUUCUCUCAAGCCUCAAUAGUCAACAUUUCCCUUUUUUGGAAGCUGAAAAAUUGUUGAUGUCAAACUGAUUCCAGUUUUGCACACCACAUAUGGCAGUUCAAGUAUACUGUAUAAUUAACACAAUUUCCUCCAUAUAUUAUCUUCAGCACUUACUUAUAAGCAUCUACAUUUUUUUUCAGAUUUUAUGGCGUUAUUGGAGUGAACAAUUUUUACACGUUUGUUAGACCUAUUUCUUCAUUGCAUUUUCUAAUAAAGCCUGAGAAGAGAUGUUCAGUAUCCUUCCAUUUGGAAAGUUUCCGCCAAGGGAUGAAACUAUUCUGCAUCACACUUGAAGGAAUACAUGGCUUUGAAAACUGGAUGGAUGGAUGAAAAAUAAAUGGAUAAAUAAAUACAAAAAGUAAAAUAAUUGUGGAAAACCACCAGAAUGGCAAAUAUGUGCAUGAGGAUUUCUGUCCCAAGGAAAAGUGAUGUCAUCGCCAUCCUGCCAUUCUCCAUCAUCUUAAGUCCUCAGAUCAUGCAAAACUCCACAAACACUACCUUUAACAGCUAAGCUGUGGAAACAGGCAAUGAAAACAAGCCACCACACUUCAGAGACAAAGAAAACAAUCGAAAAUGGUAACAGCAGAGUAAAACCUUUCCAAAGUAAACUUCAUCACAAUGCCACAUAGGCUGGAUGGGCAUCCCAGCCAGGAAAUGAGCUCGAGCUGCUCCUGUUAUCCUGGACCUGGGAGAACUUUUGGAGCCAAGGCAUAGCCCAAUGGAAGUACUUCCAGGUCAAUUUGAAUUUCCGUAAAGUAGAGAUCGUAACUCCUUGUAGCUCUCACUGGCGGCACUCGCGGACCCAGGCAGGGCUGCCUCACUGCACUACAAGUCCCAAGAUUCCCUCACCUACAAGAAAGAUGGCAGGAGGAGCACUGAUCACUGAGGUGAACCGUGGGAGUGCAUUAGCAGGUGAAAAGCCGAAGAUUAACAAAUAUAUUCCUACCUCUGAAAACAUGGAAUAACACCACUUCCUGCUUUCCUGAAGACGCCACCCUCUGGUCCCAAUUUGAUGACUUCCUGCUCCAUAGCAAUGACAUCACUUUUGUCUCUCAACAUGAACAUCAUUUCCUCCCCAAAUUCCAUUUCUUGUACCCCUAUAAUUUCCUGUAUGUUAAACAUAAAAGACCCAUGAAGAUCUUCUCUCUGUCAAAUGUCUGCAUUUACGAAUUUUGACCAUUGUUUCAUUCUACCAAGACAUUUCAGGACCACCAUUAUACAGGGAAUUCCCCCAACACUUGAUCCAUUUCUCUUGUUAUUAAUUUUGUUACUCUAUCUAUCUAUCUAUCUAUCUA